rnacentral:tRNA from 1 species
GCCGCAGUGCGUGGAACGGGUAGACAGCGUCGGUCCAAACCCGACGGCCUUCGGGCGUGGGGGUUCGAGUCCCUCCUGCGGCA